rnacentral:tRNA from 1 species
GCCUUCGUGGUGUAACGGUUAGCACACUCGCCUCGUAUUCGAGAGGUCCAGGUUCGAGUCCCGGCGAGGGCA